rnacentral:lncRNA from 1 species
UUGAAUAUAGGUUCGCACGUGGCUGUUAGAUGAGAUGUGAACCAUGACGGGUAGUUCAAUCUUUCUAAGAAACCACGAACCUCUUUUUCUGUUUUUUCCUCGGUUCAGGCACAUUUUUUUUUUUAGCAGGAUCAACCUCGAUUCCUCUCUUAUAAUGAACCCCAACAGCUUACCGGAUCGCACUCUGAUAGCGCACUUACUCGAAUUCAACCUCAGUCUGAAUUAUCUCCACCAGAUGCCCCACUCCUGUUUGGGACUUUG